UGGAAAUGUUCAAUUUUAAUUUUAUAAAUAAAAAACGUGUGUUUAAAAAUUACAAAAAAGGAGAAAAAUGAAGAACUAGUCGGUUUCUGUACAUUUAAACAGUAUAGUAAUAAUUAAAUUGCAAUGGGUUUGCAAUUAAUGAGCCAAACGGAGUUCUAUGUACCUACAUAAAUUUCACAAACGGAUCAUUUGAAAAUGGCUUAUUUAAUUUUCAUUUCACCCAUGGACAAUUGCUUAAAGUGGCAGCAAAAUAAAAGAAUAAAAGAAAAUAAAUCUGAAGUUAUGUUGGUUUUAUUGCAAUGUAUUAAAUAAGAAUAAAUUUUCGAGCUUGCUGCUGAAGAAACCAAAAUAGAUAAAAACAAUUUAUUUAGAUGGGUGUCUACUGUGGGGUUCAAUUUUAAUCAUCGAAAUAAAAUUGUUCAGCAGAUGCAAUAAUUGUACAUCUUAUUCUUUUUAAGCUGUUAUUUUAAGAAAUAAAUGUUUUAAGAUCUAAUUUUUUAUGCAACAAAA